CGAGGAAAUCAAGGAAAAUGGUUCGAUACUCACGCCAUCCUCCCUCGCUUCCAAAAAUCAUCUUUCAUAAAUUUCUACUCUGCAACCUUCUUCAGCCUUGAUCGAAAAAACCAUCUUCGAUCCAUCUCCUCACGAAGUGAAGCUCUCAGUAUAGAGUGUCGUGUGUAUCAGUCUUGGUUCUUUCAGGAAUUCUUGCAGAAUUGAUGCCAUCUCCCUGUAGAGAAUCUCUAAUGAACAGCUUAGAAGAGUCAUUUGAAAUUAUUUAUUAUGUCGACCAGAAGAUUAUUGAUAAUACAAGCAUGGAUGAUGAAACAACUGGUUCCGAAGUAAGUUUCUCUCUCCUAAAUUCAAGGGCUGCUCCUCAUUAUUGAAGAAAUUCGAGGAAUCCGAUUUGGAGCAACAGAACGGCUGUUGGGUUAUUCUUAGGGAUGCUCUAGACGCUAUAGAAGAGAAAUAUGAUCUAGAUGUUCAUUAUCAGUAGAUCGGAAGCUCCGAAGAACCUCCAAAGCAAAGCGAGAUCUAGGGUUUCCCGAAGACACAGACGGAGACGAGGAGAGAGAGAGUUAAUGGGCUUCAGCCUAGAAACCUAUUGACAAACUUUAAUGGAUUUGGACUUUAGGCCCAUCAUCAUAUUACCCUAAUGCCUAAUGGAUCAUGAGCAAAACCUCUCUGCCACCCUUACAUGGAGCCCACCAACUCUCAACAAAGAAUUCACACAGUAGAGGUCCAAGGGGAUGGAGACGAAUUGUGAUCAUGGUGGGCUGGAUGGACAUUUUGGGCCUUUGGACUCUUCCAGUGUUUGCCUACAUUUAUACAAAGUCCAAAACCACAGUCGGUCCAUAGCAGACUCUUUUUGUAAUUGAGCCCAAGUCCAAGCCCAAGCCCAAGGAUGCUGCUGAGUGCGCUCUCUAUGCCGCAAAUGUUGUGGUAACUUGCAAUCAAUUCCAUCUCUUCCGUUUAUCGCUGUUCACAUCUUUUAGUGCGCGUCCUUAUUCCGUUUGUUUAGAGAUUCCUUCCCCGUAUCUUCAUUGACGGGUUUUUUAAAUUUACUGGCUUUAUAUUGUAGGUUAUGGUUGAUGUAUAUAUGUGGGGUAACGGGUUGUCAAGAAGCUGUGAGAGUUUUGGUUUUUGGUACAUAAGCUAUGAAAGUUGAAAGCAAAGAAAAAUGUUUUCCCUCUUGCAAACAAAUGCUGGAAAAUGUUAUUGUAA